GAGCCCCAAUGUUAACCCCAGCCCGAUUUUGGAUAAUGCAACCAGCAAUUCCUCUAUCUCAUGAGGAACCUAUGUUAUGUAUCAAUUGUAUAGCUGACAUGAUGCAGAGGAGGCGACAUAGCCUAGAGCUUAUUAAGUUCAGUUGGUUAUAAUGUCAGUGGAUGACUCCUCAGCUGAUUGAUAACAGCAGUGUAUGUUGUCACUCAUGUUGGACCUUGGCCACGGUGUGGCUCUGCACCAAUCAAGGACAAAUUAUAUUUCAAAUGAAGAAGCAACCACUAGCACUGGUCACAGUUAACGUGGAUUAUCUUUGUUACAAAUACGUUCCAUAGACUGCAUAUUAACACGGAAAGAGAAUCACAUAUUCGAAAAUAAUGUAAUAAUGGAACAGAUUUCACCUCGUCAACUGCGGGGAUCUUACCAAAUAUGUCAUCCCUGAUGGCAGUGAGCUGAUCGAGCUGCUACAUAUGCUGUGGAGCCCC